UUCAGUAACCUGCUUUUUUUCCCAUCAAAAUACCCCCAUUUGUUUGUAAAAUAUCAAUUAUGGGGUAUGGCUUGGGACCCUUUUUCUGAAGAAAUUACCAGUAUUAUUGGUUAUCAGUUGGAUUUUCUUCAUCGUGAACUAUGAAGGCUAGAAUGAGAACAUGUACCCUAUUUUCUAAAGAAAUUACCAGUAUUAUUGGUUAUCAGAGGAAUUUUCUUCAUCGUAAACUAUGAAGACUGGAAUGAAGACAUUUUUUCCAAGGCCUGGGAUAUGCUGUCAGUAGGAUCUCGUCAAUAACAUUUAUGGUAUUAGGUCAGAGAAACCUAUAUAGACGCCUUGGUGAAUCGAAGGUGGAAGUGGCCAUUCAGUUGCUGUGCUGUUUGACAGCAAAGGGAACACACUUAUAUUGAUGUGCAGGGACCUUGCACAAACCAUCGGCUCAUUGGAAUGGAGGAAUGCCAAACAAGGAUCCAUGCUAUGAUACAAGAAGGGAACGAGAAAAUUGGAUGACUGGCUCAAUUCUUUUCUCUUCAAUAAGGAUGGAUCGACAUCAAGAUGUGGAGGAUGGGCUAUCUCUUGGCAGAUAAAGGAAGUGCUUCCUGGGUAGCGGACGAGGCAUUAAAGAUUUACAUAGACGAAGAAGAUAACAGGCGUCCUCCUCAUGACACUGCAGUCAUGAAUUAGAUAAAAGGCUAGAAUGAAUUCAUUCUUCACAACUUUGUCAACUUAAAUUGUUUAGUAGGGGUCUGCUUUCUGCUCCCGUAAAUCAAAAUAUUAGAAUUUUGUCACUUUGACAUUUUACAAAACAUGGCGGCCAUUGCAAAUAAUUUGAGAAAUGAAUGACGCUAAACAGUAGACCCCGAAAAGAAAGUGCAAGACUAAAUCUUUUUCAAAAAAUGUGCUGUUAACGGAAAAUUAUAUUGUUGUUGAAAUUGAGAAUCAUAAAAAAGUCAAAUUAUUGUUUCAAUUCA
rnacentral:lncRNA from 1 species